GCGCUCUUGGCGUAGUGGUAGCGCGUGUCUCUCCUAAAGACGAGGUCGUGGGUUCGACCCCCACAGGGCGCU